rfam:Brachypodium distachyon strain Bd21 chromosome 3, whole genome shotgun sequence.
UUGAUGGACAUGAGGAGACACUAUGUUUUACGGGCAAUUUGUGUCUGAGGCGUUUCUUUGAUGUCAAACUCUUUUCACCUUGGAGGUCUGAUGCGUCCG